rnacentral:lncRNA from 1 species
AUGCCUUCCCUCACCACCCCCUCCGCAGCGCCUCCCCGAGGGGGCCCUGGGCAGCCCGGGGAGGCCCGGCCGUGCCCUGAGGCCCGCGGCCCGGCCCCGCCCCGCCGAGGGGAGGAGCGGAGCGGCGCGGGGCGGGCGGCAGCGGCCCUGGCGCCCCCUCCCCUUUGCCGAGCGCCCCCCGGCGUCGCCCCCUCCCUCUCCUCCUCGCGGCUCCUCGGGCUCGAGUUACCCCCGGCGGCGGCAGCGGAGGGGCCGGAGGGGGGGGGGGGGGCGGCGGGGAGGGCGGGGCCGCCCCGCUCCUUUGUGUGCGUGCCUCACCCCGCCCGGGCCCGCCGCGUCCUCCAUUUUGUGGCAGGAAGCGCGGGGCGCCAUUUUCCUACCCCCACCCCCCCAGCACCCCCCCGCUCCCUCCUUCCCCGAGGCGUCGCCCCCCCGGACCCCCCCCCCCCCCCCACCUCCCACCCUUCACCCCUCUCCCCACCCCCACCCCCCUCCCCCGGUGCUUCCCCCCCGCGGCCCCACGCCGCACCCCGCGCCCAUCCCACAGCGAAGCGGCGCUUCCCUCACCCCCCGCAUCCCCUCACCCACCCCGCUUCGCCCCGCAGCCCCCUCCAUUCCCCUCACCCCCCCCGCCCCCCUUGCCCUCUCCCCCCCAGUCCAGGCCCGGCCCGGCCCGCAGCGGCCGCGCCUCACCUGCACGACGCCGGCGAACCCGGAGCGAAAAAGACCGACGGCGUGAGCGCCGCCCCUUAUAUACCCUGCGCCGGGGGGCGGGGCCUAACCGACACGUCACCGCUCCCGGCGGCCCCGAGGCCACGCCCCCUCCGGCCCGGCCCCGCUGCGCGGGCACAGGGCGGCGGCCCCGGGCCUGGAGGGGGGGGCGGGGCGGGGCCGGGCCUGAGGGGGCUGCGAGAGCCCCCGGGGGGGAGGAGAGGCACAGGGGGGCUUAGUGAGCCCCGGGAGGGCACACUGGUAUUUUUUUCUUUAAAACCAUCUUUUUUGGUCUUUUGUGCAGCCCCAGAAAGAAAAAGUUGUCUCACAAGUCACACAAAUGGAGGUAGAUGCCUCAGGAGAGGUAUCCCAAGUGCUUGUAGCCCAAGUGCUUCAGACGUGACCAAGGCGGCACCGAGGCACCGAGGGUCUGACUCCUGUGCCAGGAUCCCAAAGCGCACGACAUGCCCCUCUUCCGUACUUUCAUGUGUGAAAGUUUCUGAUGAGAGCCACUAA